ensembl:lncRNA
GCUCCUUUCCCUCCGCGGGAGCUCCAGCCCCACACCCCGGGACACUCGCCCCGACACAUACACUCACCCCCACACUCACACACGUCCACGAACACUCGCAAACAGGGCAGCACACACACUCUCGCACAGCCACCCAUGCUCACACACACAUCCAUAUCCACACUCAGAUCCCUAGGCUCACACACACUCCUACCCACACACGCUUGCACUCAAUGCUUUCAUGAACACUCACACUCACACACACAUUCGCACGCACCACCACACACACUCCUUUGUGAGGCUGGCGUCUCCCCCCUCCAGAGGUCCUGCCUGACCUCCCUCCGUUUCUCCAGCUUUGCGCCUUGUUCGCUGACGCUCCGCGGGGCUGCCCCCACAUCCUUUCAGCAGAGGGAUGCCCAGGCGCAGCCCUGGCUUCUGUUCCAGGGUGACGGUGCUGCUCCCGUCCGCGCGGGGGGCACCUGUUGCUGCGCAGGGCCACAUCGAGCUUGUUCGCAGUUGCAUCCCAGCCCUGCCACAGGCCUGGAACACAGUGGGUGCUCGAGCAAUGUUUUGGAGGACGAACGAACGAACGAGUGAAUGCACAGGACCACAGGGUGUCUGAACAGGAAGGCCCUUGUGCACACCACCUGCCAGGGGAGCCGAGGCUGAGUGAGAGGCGCGGCCGCGGCCGGGGCAGAGCACGGAGGGACGCCCCACUGGGCCUCAGCUUCCUGCCUCCCACUUGGCCGGCAGUUCUGUCUCCACUUUUCCACAGGGACAAGGAUGCGGCCUCCCCUCCUUAGUGGGCUGGUUCUGGAACCCACUAUUCUCCCACUUCUGCCCCCUCACAGAGAGCAGGCAGGCCAGGAGGUGGUGGGCAGCAGCCCGGGGGGGCACAGGCCAUGCUUCUGCUCUGCGCGUGGCCCGGCCCUCUCCCUGGGCACAGCACCCUUCCACCGGCUCCCGCCUGCCACCAGGGCUGUGAGGCUCAGCAGGUGAGGCUGGGCAGGAAUCAGGAGUCCCCACGUGUCCUCCCUCUCUGUUGGCCUCGAUUCUCACUGACUGGAUGCACAUAUCAAAUCUUGGGAACAGUAGGUAGUUUGAAAACAGUUUGAAAAUGCAUAUUCAACCUUUUUGAUUUUUUUUAACGUCAGGUCGCAACAGCAAAAAGCAAGUUUGACAAAGAUCUUCUUGGGGGUGGGGUGGGGGUCGUGGAGAAAUCGAGACAAAGGUGUUGAAGAUUUGGAAACGCUGCCUUAAGAAUGUGGAGACAUUGAGUAGUGAAAAUGAGGUGCUUGGUGUGAGUGUGCGCCGUUUUGUGGGUGCUGAGGUGUGUGGGUGCAGGUUGGCAGCUGUGGGUCCCUCGUGUGCGCACUGCUGAGGCCCCUGUGUGAUUGUCUAGGUCUGAACGUAUGCGCCGCGCUGUCUUGUCUGGAUGGAGAGGAAGGAUGUGCCAUGGGGGGAGGAAGGGACAUCUUUGGGUGGGAGGCCAGGGUGGUCCUGGCCUGAGGACGCGAGGUGGGAGCCAGCCUUCUCCGUGUCCACUGCCCUCGGCCGACUGGACCAGCAGAGCUCAUGGUCAUUUAAGGUGCUGGCUGGGUCAGGCAGCUGUUUGGGUGGCAGGCCACCCGGGGCCGAGAUGGUGUGGGCCUUCCAGGGGGGCCCUGGGAGCUAUUUUUAGUGGUCUGGGCUGACUCCCAAAUCCUGCUGACUAUUUCUGGCCCCAGAAGACUGCCCUGAAGGAUGUGGAAAAUUUUCGUGUCAAGAAUGUCUGAUUUCCCUUUGGCUAUGCAAGGGCAUUGCAGAGAGACCGGGACAAAAGGCUGGAGGCCCGAGGGCUUCUGGGAAAAUUCACUGGCACUGAGAGCAUGAAAUGCCAUCUUCCUGCCCUUUGGAGACUACCAUGGACUGUUAAAAACACCAGCGUCAUUAUGGGCGACCGUCUGGCCCGGGUUGCCUCCGUGUCUCAGUUUAGCACUAGAAGCCUGGCAUCCGGGACACCCUUCUGACCCAGGCCAACGGGGACGGUGGUCACUUGAGCUCCGCUUCAGCCUCUUUUAGUUCUAGAAGUGAAAUUAAUCAGAACGAGAAUUGAACUACCCGCAUCACCUUCCAGAAUGUUCUCAAUCAUCACAUACCGGAGGUGCUGUUUUCACCUCCAUUUUCACAUCAAGAAACUCAGGCACAGAGCUGCGAGGCAACUUGCCUAGUGCAGAACAGCCAGUGAGUGUGGGGCCAGGGUGUAAGCCCUGCUGCUCUGGAGCGGUUAAGUCGUGUCCAUGGGGAAGAUUUCAAAGCAGCCAGGAUGUGAUCUGUGAUGAGUGGCUUCUCUCCAGCCCCACCCCAGUCUCCUGACUCUCCGUUGGAGGAACUGAUGCCAUCAGUGUGUCACGUGGCCAGCCUUCCUCCGCCGGCUUCGAGAGAACGAGGGCUUGAGGCGUGGUGCAUGGAAGGAAUUAGCUUCUCUCCUCUGCAUCCCGAGUGGUACCGGUUAUGAACCAUCCUUCGGUGAACUGAGCCUUUGUCCCUUGUGUCAUUUUCCGCAUUCUGUGCCAGAUCCUGACCCCCAGCUGGUCGGUUAAGUCACUUGCUUGGGGGCAUACAGUGGGGAAGUGGCAAAACUGGGAUUUGAACCCAAGUGAGUCUGAAUCCAAAGCCUGUGCCCUUUCUGCUCCACCACCUAAUGGCUGCGAAUGCGUCCAGAAUGGCCAGGGGUCAGGCUGGCAGGUUGCCCACCUCCAGAGGGUAUUAUUCACAUUGCAGUCUGUGUGCUUGGCACCCCCGGCAUUGUGCAGUGCACAGUCUGUGAGGCCGCACAUGGCAACCGUGCUGGGGUGCCCAUGCUCUACUCUCAACAACAACAACACAAUCACCGCCUUUAAGAACAUGCAGCAGCAGGGGCUGGCCCCGUGGCCGAGUGGUUAAGUUCGCGCGCUCCGCUGCAGGCGGCCCAGUGUUUCGUUAGUUCGAAUCCUGGGUGCGGACAUGGCACUGCUCAUCAAACCACGCUGAGGCGGCGUCCCACAUGCCACAACUACAAGGACCCACAACGAAGAAUAUACAACUGUGUACUGGGGGGCUUUGGGGAGAAAAAAUAAAAUAAAAUCUUUAAAAAAAAAAAAAACAUGCAGCAGCAAACCAGUUGACUCAUAAAUUCUUUCUCUUAUAUGUUCAUUAAGAAGUUAUUAGUGAUACUAAUAACAUCAAAGUUGAGAGAGGCUGUUUCCUGCCUUCCAGGGCCUCUCAGUCACUGUGAUUUAGAAGUGCCUUGUGAUCAAAGGGGAGGAUUGGACUGACCCUGUUGGGCUGAGGAUCAGGGAAGGCUCCUUGGUGGAGGGGGCAGUUGGCUGGGCCCUGAAGGAUGAAUAGGAG